rnacentral:rRNA from 1 species
UACGUAGGGGGGCUAGCGUUGUCCGGAAUCAUUGGGCGUAAAGAGCGUGUAGGCUGCUCGGUAAGUCCGCUGUAAAAGUCAAAGGCUCAACCUUUGAAUGUCAGUGGAUACUGCCGGGCUAGAGUCCGGAAGAGGGCGAGUGGAACUCCUGGUGUAGCGGUGGAAUGCGCAGAUAUCAGGAGGAACACCGGUGGCGAAGGCGGUCUCUGGGCCUGUACUGACGCUGAGGAACGAAAGGGUGGGGAGCGAACAGG